rnacentral:tRNA from 1 species
GGCCAGUUAGCUCAGUCAAUUGAGCAUGGCACUGACGGUGCCAAGGCCAUGGGUUCGAUUCCCGUUCCGUCCU